AAAGGGGGAAGAGUGUGAACAAGAGAGAGAAGAGGCGUUCUCUAACAGAAAGAGGUAGAGGAGAGGAGAGCAAAAUAGUUGUUUUCUAUCUCCGUGUGGCUCACACUGAGAGUUGUCUCACCAAAAGAGAGGGAAUAUUUUAUUUAUUUUUCUUCUGUUCAUGUUAUCACCACUGAUCAUACAGAAUAAAAAUCUUGUUAAACUGGGGUUUUCUUCAAUCUGAACUCAACAGUAAAACAGAUUUCAUCUCAGACUGAUUCUUCUUGCGGGACUAGUUUUAUUAGGAUCCUACUAGUUGUCAUAAUACCAGUCUGUCUCUGAGAUGGGGUCCAGAACUCUUCUACUUGUUCUGGGUCUUUAUUUUACACUACUGGGGAACCUAGAGGCCAGAGUUUGCGGCCUGGGCUUCAUUGCCAAUGAGAGUCAACAAUGUGAUGAUAUAGAUGAGUGUAAAGAGUGGGACAGUACCCCACCCUGUGGAAGUAAAGCCACGUGUUACAAUACAUAUGGAAGCUUCUACUGUCACUGUCUACCUGGGUUCAGAUCCACAACGACUUUCAAGUUUACUCCUCUCACUGGGGAGUGUAAUGACCUCGAUGAGUGCAAGGGAAGACUACGGGUUUGUCCCAGCAACGCCAUUUGCCUCAACACCAUUGGGAGCUACCACUGCCUGUGCCAACCUGGGUUCAGAUUCUCUAAUCACACUGUGAAGAACUGAUGGAAAUUCCAAUAUCAAGUUUUCUGAUGAAUUUACCAAUGAUUUUGUCACGUCUGCUGCUGCUCCCCCUCUCUGACGCUCGAGGUUGCCUGGCGGCUCAUCAUUACUCACACCUCUCACCAUCGUUACGCGCCCCAGUGCUUCAUCGGACUCACCUGGACUCCAUCACGUCAUUGAUUAUCUACCCUAUAUCUGUCACCCCCUCCAGUUAAUUUUCCGCGUCUGCAUUGAUGUUGUUUUGUUUCUCCUGUCCUGUUAUUUACCAUGAUGCCCUAGGAACAGUGGGUUAACUGCCUUGUUCAGGGGCAGAACAACAUGUAUAUUUAUCUUUCAGCUCCAGGUAUUCGAACUAGCAACCAUUUGGUUAUUGUCCAAAUGCUCUAACCACUAGGCUACUACCGCCCCUUAGGAUACCUAUCUCCCUGCUGUUAACCUCUCUUGGGUAGGGGGCAGUAUUUUCACCUCCUGAUGUAAAGCAUGCCCAGAGUAAAUUGCCUGUUACUCAGGCCCAGAAUUUAGGAUAUGCAUAUAAUUAGUAGAUUUGGAUAGAAAACACUUUAAAGUUUCCAAAACUGUUAAAAUAAUAUGCCUGCAAGUAUAACAGAACUGAUAUGGCAGGCGAAAACCUGAGAAAAAUCCAUCCAGGAAGUGGAAUUGUUUUCAUGUGGCUGUUUUUCAACUCAAUACCAAUAGAGAAUCCAAUGGGUUAGGAAAAAAAAAACUCAGGCUCAAACGCAGUCAAAACAGGCUGACAAAAAAAUCCAAAUUGUAUCCGUAAAGUUCAUAGAAACAUGUCAAACGAUGUUAAUUUUCAAUCCUCAGGUUGUUUUUAGCCUAAAUGAUCUAUAAUAUUUCAACCGGACAAUAACAUCGUCAAUUUAGGUAAACAAGAAAUGCACUCUCUCGGGAUUGCGCAUGAAAAAGUUCUGCGACAGGGUAGGGUCCACUCAUUCAGACUGGUGUUACUCCCACAUUUAUAAGAAUACAAGCCUGAAACGAUUUCUAAAGACGGUUGACAUCUAGUGGAAGGCAUAGGAACUGCAAAUGGAGUCCUAAAUCAAUGGAUACUGUAAUGGCAUUGAAUAGAAAACUACAAAAUCCCCCCCAAAACUACUUCCUGAAUGGAUUUUUCUCAUGUUUUCGCCUGCCAAAUCAGUUCUCUUUUACUAAGAGACACUAUUUUAACAGUUUUGGAAACUUUAGAGUGUUUUCUAUCCAAAUCUACCAGUUAUAUGCAUAUCAUAUCUUCUGGGCCCGAGUAGCAGGCUGUUUAAUUAUGGGCAUGCUUUUCAUCCAAAAUUCUGAAUGCUGCCCCCUACCCUGGAGAGGUUGAGAAAUGUACUGAAAACCCCAGUGUAAACCUUGUACACAAAAUGUUUGAAAUGUUUGAAACGUCUUUUAAUAUUGAUUAUGAAGUAGAGGGAAAGAAAGGGGAAAUAAACACUCACUUAAUAGGGUUGAAUGACCUCCGACCUCUAUUCUGACUUUCUGGUGAGGCCUAAUCACCCUCACUAGAAAGGCUAGAGACAUUGGGUGAGAUUUAAAUGUAAGAUGUAAACACUGAUAAUUAGUAAGAAGGUUAUAAAUUAAAUCAGAUGGGUCACAUACACAUGUUUUAUCAAUAGUCCUAUGUGUGAUUCAGACCAUGAGGAGGAGAGAGAGAGAGAGUGCUGCCCCUGAAUGAGGGAAACCUGUCUCCAGUCCAAAUUAUGGGAUACAAUUAUUUCCUUAUGGAGUUAUCAAGGCAUGUCAUUUGAUUGUAUUUGUUAUUCUGAUUUGUUUAUUUUUUACUUAAACGGCAGUGUUGUUGUUGUUGUUUUGGACGCAUAAAACACGAUGUGAGUCAUGUGUCAAAAGGGAAGAAGUGCAUUGUGGUUGUUGUUCUUGGUUGUUGUUUGAAUUGUGGUUUUUGUUUUGUUUGUUGUAUGAUGUUUUGUUUGUUUUAUUUUUGUCUUGCUUCAAAAAAAAAUCUCUCCAGAUUGGUUCUGCUGUAUGGUCGGGAUUUCUCCCUAAGGGUUAGCCCUCUACCAAACCUGACCCUGUAACUCUGCAGUGAGGUCGUCAAUGUUACAGGGGAGAAUAAGCCAAUUUGAUAAAAUGGUUUUAACAGUGUGUUGUUAUUCUAUUUGACAUUUGUCUUAGACAUUUCUAUUAAGAAUAUUGGCAGUGGUAAUAAUUUGUUAUUCAGUAAAUAGUUUGUCUGGUUUCAGGCUUUUAUUUUGAAAAACGAUGUGUUAAAAGCCAUUUUAACAAUUAAAACAAUUUUAACAAUAGUUAUCACAGUGUAAUACAUGGAAAGGAGGGAAAGUGAGGGAAAAUGUUGCAGUCUGAAGAGGUAGCAUUGAAUUGUACACAGCAUCUCCUCCCACUCUAUCUUGGUUCGUGCAGGUGACUGUGACCUCCUCCUCAGACCAAUUGACAGUACGCCCAGAACAUUGUUCUGGGUUCCAAAAGGAGUAUCUCAGUUUCAAGGUCCCAGAUUUGAGAGAAGAAACCUUGUUAGUUAUUAGUCAGUCAGUCACUUCCAGGAACCAACUUAGAUGAUGAAUAAUGAAUCAUGUAAAUCAUGCCUAUAUGAAUUGUUUGGGUAGCCGUAUAUUAGAGAACUAACGGGACUGUCCCGGCAGAGCUCCUGACCGAUGUGUACUAUGUUGCAUUAAGUUUGUUGGAACCUCUCCAGCUUUCUGAUAAUAAAGAAUUAAUCA
ensembl:lncRNA